rnacentral:rRNA from 1 species
CGGAGGGUGCAAGCGUUAUCCGGAAUCACUGGGUUUAAAGGGUGCGUAGGCGGUCAGAUAAGUCAGUUGUGAAAUACCCCGGCUUAACCGGCGGAACUGCGAUUGAUACUGUUUGACUUGAAUCAGGUUGAGGUAGGCGGAAUGAGGCAUGUAGCGGUGAAAUGCUUAGAUAUGCCAUAGAACACCGAUUGCGAAGGCAGCUUGCUGGACCUGUAUUGACGCUGAGGCACGAAAGCGUGGGGAGCAAACAGGAUUAGAUACCCUGGUAGUCCACGCCCUAAACGAUGUUUACUUGCUGUUCGGCCUUCGGGGCGAGUGGCGAAGCGAAAGCGAUAAGUAAACCACCUGGGGAGUACGCCCGCAAGGGUG